CGUGUAGGCGGUUUGUUAAGUCUGAUGUGAAAGCCCUGGGCUCAACCCGGGAAGUGCAUUGGAAACUGGCAAACUUGAGUACGGGAGAGGAAAGUGGAAUUUCGAGUGUAGGGGUGAAAUCCGUAAGAUAUUCGAAGGAACACCAGUGGCGAAGGCGGCUUUCUGGACCGAUACUGACGCUGAGACGCGAAAGCGUGGGGAGCAAACA
rnacentral:rRNA from 1 species